rnacentral:rRNA from 1 species
UACAGAGGGUGCAAGCGUUGUUCGGAAUCAUUGGGCGUAAAGGGCGUGUAGGCGGUUUGUUAAGUCAUGUGUGAAAUCCCCCGGCUCAACCGAGGAACGACGCAUGAAACUGGCAGCUAGAGUACCGAAGAGGGGGUGGAAUUCCCGGGUGUAGCGGUGAAAUGACGGUAGAUAUCGGGAGGAACACCUGUGGCGAAGGCGGCCCCCUGGUCGGAUACUGACGCUGAGACGCGAAAGCGUGGGGAGCAAACAGGG